GAGUGAUCGAAAGAUGAAAAGCACUUUGAAAAGAGAGUUAAACAGCACGUGAAAUUGUUGAAAGGGAAGCGUUUGCGACCAGACUCGCCCGCGGGGUUCAGCCGGCACUCGUGCCGGUGUACUUCCCCGUGGGCGGGCCAGCGUCGGUUUGGGCGGCCGGUCAAAGGCCCUCGGAAUGUAUCACCUCUCGGGGUGUCUUAUAGCCGAGGGUGCAAUGCGGCCUGCCCGGACCGAGGAACGCGCUUCGGYCGGACG
rnacentral:rRNA from 1 species